GCAGUGGUGGUUCAGUGGUAGAAUUCUGGCCUUCCAUGCAGGAGAUCUGGUUUCGAUCCCUGGCCAAUGUG
rnacentral:tRNA from 1 species